UGUCCUACGGGGCGCAGCAGUGAGGAAUAUUGGUCAAUGGGCUUACGCCUGAACCAGCCAAGUCGCGUGAGGGAAGACUGCCCUAUGGGUUGUAAACCUCUUUUGUCAGGGAGCAACGCCGGCUACGUGUAGCCGGACUGAGAGUACCUGAAGAAAAAGCAUCGGCUAACUCCGUGCCAGCAGCCGCGGUAAUACGGAGGAUGCGAGCGUUAUCAGGAUUUAUUGGGUUUAAAGGGUGCGUAGGCGGACAGUCAAGUCAGCGGUAAAAAUGCGGUGCUCAACGCCGUACAGCCGUUGAAACGGGC
rnacentral:rRNA from 1 species